rnacentral:rRNA from 1 species
GUUAGGGGGUUUCCGCCCCUUAGGAUUGCUGCAGCUAACGCAUUUCUAAGCACUCCGCCUGGGGAGUCACGGUCGCAAGACUGAAACUCAAAGGUCAAUUGACGGGGGCCCGCACAAGCGGUGGAGCAUGUGGUUUAAUUCGAUCAGCAACGCGAAGAACCUUACCAGGUCUUGACAUCCUGACUGACAAUCAACUAGUUAGAUAGGACGUCCCCUUCGGGGGCAGAGUGAUCCCAGGUGGUGCAUGGUUGUCGUCAGCUCGUGGGUCGUGAGAUGUUGGGUUGUAAGUCCCGCAACGAGCGCAACCCUUGAUCUUAGUUGCCAGCAUUCAGUUGGGCACUCUAUAGGUGACUGCCGGUGACAAUACCGGAGGAAGGUGGGGGAUGACGUCAAAUCAUCAUGCCCCUUAUGACCUGGGCUACACACGUGAUACAAUGGACAUAACAAAGGGCAGCGAAACCGCGAGGUUAGGCCAAUCCCACAAAUCUGUUCUCAGUUCGGGAUCGCAGUCUGCAACUCGACUGCGUGAAUGCUGGAAUCGAAAAUAAGGGGCGAACAGGCUGGCGGGGGGGAAAAAAUUCCC